rnacentral:rRNA from 1 species
AUUGAACGCUGGCGGCAGGCCUAACACAUGCAAGUCGAACGGCAGCACAGAAGAGCUUGCUCUUUGGGUGGCGAGUGGCGGACGGGUGAGUAAUGUCUGGGAAACUGCCCGAUGGAGGGGGAUAACUACUGGAAACGGUAGCUAAUACCGCAUAACGUCGCGAGACCAAAGUGGGGGACCUUCGGGCCUCACACCAUCGGAUGUGCCCAGAUGGGAUUAGCUAGUAGGUGGGGUAAUGGCUCACCUAGGCGACGAUCCCUAGCUGGUCUGGGAGGAUGACCAGCCACACUGGAACUGAGACACGGUCCAGACUCCUACGGGAGGCAGCAGUGGGGAAUAUUGCACAAUGGGCGCAAGCCUGAUGCAGCCAUGCCGCGUGUAUGAAGAAGGCCUUCGGGUUGUAAAGUACUUUCAGCGGGGAGGAAGGCGGUGAGGUUAAUAACCUUGCCGAUUGACGUUACCCGCAGAAGAAGCACCGGCUAACUCCGUGCCAGCCGCCGCGGUAA